rfam:Loxodonta africana unplaced genomic scaffold scaffold_45, whole genome shotgun sequence.
UCCUGGGUGGUGCAAAUGGUUAGUGCAUUUGGCUGCUAACCAAAAGGUUGGAGGUUGGAGUCCACCCAGAGGCA